GGCUCAGAACGAACGGCUGGCGGCGCGUCUUAAGCAUGCAAGUCGAACGGCAAGAGGUAGCAAUACCUCCUAGAGUGGCGGACUGGUGAGUAACACGUGGGUGACAUACCCUUCAGAUGGGGAUAGCUAUUAGAAAUAGUAGAUAAUACCGAAUACGAGCACAGGGGUUAGAGAUCUGUGAGGAAAGGAGCUAAGGCUCCGCUGAAGGAAUGGCCUGCGGCCCAUUAGCUAGUUGGUGAGGUAAGAGCCCACCAAGGCGAUGAUGGGUAUCCGGCCUUAGAGGGUGAACGGACACAUUGGGACUGAGAUACGGCCCAGACUCCUACGGGAGGCAGCAGCUAAGAAUAUUCCGCAAUGGACGAAAGUCUGACGGAGCGACGCCGCGUGGAUGAAGAAGGCCGGAAGGUUGUAAAAUCCUUUUGAAACUGAAGAAUAAGCGUUGUAGGGAAUGACAGCGUGGUGACAGUAGGUUUUGAAUAAGCAACGGCUAAUUACGUGCCAGCCGCCGC
rnacentral:rRNA from 1 species